CUCAGAUACAAAGAGCUGUGAAAGCCUGUCUGCAGAUGAAAAGGUCUCAAUGAAGUGCAGUGGUUCUUAGUCCUGGGGUCCUAAAGAGAUCCCUUGCAGGGUAGCCUAGUGGUUAGAGCGUUGGACUAGUAACCAAAAGGUUGCAAGUUCAUAUCCCCAGCUGACAAGGACCAGAAGGGGACCUGCAGCUCUCUGCCGUGUGCCAGAGGAGAGGUCUGCUGCUCUGCAUGAUGUUGCAUUUCUUCGACGAGGGUGCUGUUCCCUGGUAACACCUUGUGCCAUACACAAUCAAAGGCUCAAAGGCUCUUCAAAACCACCCAUAUUGCAAUAUUCUUCCGUUUACUUAGCUUUGUCAACUGCAGUUAUUCAAUUCCCAGUUUCUCUCCCUUUAAUUUUUGCUGUUCAGGUAAGAGCACAUAAACAAAACAGGCUCUUUUAAGAGUCAUAUUGGAAAUGUCAUGAACAAUGAAACACCCUACAACUCACACCUACACACUUGUGUAUCAAUCUGAUUGUGUUGUGCAGUAAGCAGGUUCAGGUUUACAACUGUGGCUCCUUCCACCUUCAAAGAAUAGGCAAGAGGACCAACCAUGGAGAAUAGUUAUAUCAGCUGUGUCAGUGAACCGCUUCUGAACUGCCUGAAACGGAGUGCACAGCAUGAUCAGAGGUGAGAGGUCACUUGGUCGGUUCAACAGGAAGUAUUAUUAAAGAGAUGCUUUACAUUACAAAUGGAGAUGUAGUAGUCCCAGAGUUAAUGAUCCAAGGUCAGUUUUGUAUUUCACCCCCUGAUGACUAUGAUGACUGACAUUGGGUUAGAAUUAAAAAGACAAGGUUUAAUCAUGCAAUCUCUCAUCUGCAAGUAUGUUUUGAAGUACAGAUUUCCACUGGUCUAAUGUCCAUUGCUUGUGUUUCUUGGCCCAAGUAA